rnacentral:tRNA from 1 species
UCCCAGAUAGCUCAGUUGGUAGAGCAUGAGACUCUUAAUCUCAGGGUUGUGAGUUCGAGCCCCAUGCUGGGAG